rnacentral:rRNA from 1 species
CCCUUAGAUGUUCUGGGCCGCACGCGCGCUACACUGACGAAUGCAACGAGCUUAUAACCUUGGCCGAAAGGUCUGGGUAAUCUCCAAAUUUCGUCGUGAUGGGGAUAGAUUAUUGCCAUUAUUAAUCUUCAACGAGGAAUGCCUAGUAAGCGCAAGUCAUCAGCUUGCGUUGAUUACGUCCCUGCCCUUUGUACACACCGCCCGUCGCUCCUACCGAUUGAAUGGUCCGGUGAAGCGUUCGGACCGUGGCCUUUGGACGGUUCGCCGUCUGUUGGCUGCGGGAAGUUCGUUAAACCUUAUCAUUUAGAGGAAGGAGAAGUCGUAACA